rnacentral:tRNA from 1 species
UUUUAGUUAGUAUAAGUAGUACACUUACCUUCCAAGUAAAAAGUCUGGCAUUUAGACUCUAAC